AUUCAGGAUUUUUAGGAAUUUAGGAAUUCUAAAACCAACAUUUGUCUAAAAUUAGCAGACAUAUAUGCUUAGCUCUGAAAUUGGCAAAUAAAGUUUAAAUUAGAAAUAAACGUCCUUUUUAUAUGAUAAAAUCGUAGAUGAAUAUAAAUAGUUUAUAUAGAGUAUGAUUUCCGUGAUCACACCAGGUGUUUCAUGGAUGAUCUCAACCAGAUAGCUCCGUACCAUAUAUUUGGAUAGGCAAGAAAAUAAAACGCCUGGGAUCAUAAAAAACCAAGAUGGUGUUAACAGAAUAGACAUAACUUAAGGUCAAUUUUACCUGGGGCAUUCCAUUGCGUUUGUUGUAUAAUUAUAUAUACAAUGGACAGAAAGUGUUCAAACAAAAGCUUGCAUUUAAAUUACAAGCCAUUACAUUUUGGCCUAAGAUCAAAUGUUUGGAAGGCCCAACUCCACCUACUAUAUUGGAGAAAAAAAAUCAGAAGAUCUAAAUAGAAACGACAUUCUAUAUAAUGUCAACUCGAUUACGGCAUUGAAUUCUAUCAUAACCUUCAUCGGGAGCGCCAAGACCAAAUGGGUUUCAAGCAAAACUAAACCAAAACUAAAACAGCAUAAAACAAAAAUGGUGUAAGCAGAAAAAAAGGGUAAACCUUUCAUUGGUUUGCUAACUUAGGUGAAAAAUAUAAUUCUUGAAGUGGAAUCUUACCAAAGAAAAAAAAAAUAGAAAUUCAUGUCAUUUUGGAAGCAGCGGCGACUACAAGCGGAUAAUUUUGACCUUUCGGAUUGAUAAUCAACACCAACUUUUCAACCGAUGAAAUUCAAUGCUGGGGCCAAUGAAAAUAAAUAAUAACUGCAAUCAAAAACUUCCAGACUUUACACAGGAAUAUUCCAGUAAAACAACAAUUAAUGAAAGCGAAUGCAGGGUGUCAAGCCCAUCACUUCACUAGGCCUGACAAUGAACAUCUAAUGAAACGUUCGCAACCUACACAUGUACCACAUAUAACUUGGAUUUUUCAGGG
rnacentral:lncRNA from 1 species